rnacentral:lncRNA from 1 species
GUGUCUAUCUAGAGGUUAUUUCUCUUGGAGCUCUUCUGUGAGCCUAGGACAUGGGUGAGCUCUUUAUUUCAUUUCUACUUUGUAAAGCAAUAAUCUCUCUGGUCUGCUAUCUGUAUACCUAUUUACCAUACAAUCUGUGUAUCUGUUUGCCAUACAGCAGCACAAAUUAAUCUCUUGGAACAGCCUGUGAAAACUUGAAGCCUGGUUAAUUCUAUUUGCUGAUAUUAUUGUAGGUAAAAAGUUUAUUGCCAUCUGUAGAAUUUUAAAUGCUGAAUUCUACUUAACAAUUCUAAAACAUAGUAUUGUUCAUUUAUUUUUAAAAUACGUUACAAUGAACUCUGCUGGAUUUGUAAUUAACUUAGUUUUCUAUUAGUAGUGAUGAGCUACUAAAGUGGAUUGGAGAAAUUAAAUACUAAAAAAAAUUGUGAUGCUUCAGGGUAUCUAAUUUUUAUCUUUACCUGUGCUUAUUCCACCAGAAAGAAAAACUCUUCUAGGUUUAAAUGUGAAUUAUAAAAAGUGGUAUCAUAUUAUUCAAGAUAAAUCAGAUUAUUUUAAGUGUAUAAUGUUGUUUAGUGUAUUUUGAAUCCAGAGACUCCAGUUUUCAUUGGAUUGAAGUUACAAAAGUCAAGCACAUAUAAAACACUUGUAUAAUAAGAUGAAUCUGUUCAAAUGAGUAAUCAAAUAUAUAUGAUGGAAAGCAGCAACUGAAAAAAGGCUCUAGGUUAAAGUGAAGUUUGCUAUGAAACAGUUAAUAAUCCUGGUCUAGGACAUGCUUCUGAUCUUUUAGGGAUGCCAUUUGCAAACCUUAAAGUAAAAAGCUAAGACUAGUUUAAAAACAAUGCCAUAGAGUAAAAAACAAUGUAGCUCAUUAGAAAACAGUACAACUAUUCCAGUUUCAAUUCAAAGUAUUGUACCUUUUUUGUUGGAGGGUUGUGUUUUUUAGUUUUUUGGGUUUGUUUUUUUUUUUGUCAGUGUCUUGUUUUUUUGCUGUUGUUGGUUUGUUUUUACUAAACAAUUGGAGUUAUCUAUAAUUUAGUGCAGAGAAUGUCAGUGUCUGGUAAAAUCAAGGAGUUACAUAACUAAAAGGAACAUUUGAGCCAACACAGGUCUGCUACAUGAUCAUAUGCACCAUGUGUUAGCACGUGGUGUGUUAACUGAUCUCAGUAUAAGUUUGGAUUUGGAAAAAAUACAGAGAUUGCUCUCUUCAGAAUUUGUGCUGAAGGCACUUCAAAAUGAGUGGUUACUUACAAUUAGGUCACUUGCUCAUUUCAUUAAUUAGAUUGAAAAAAACCUGCUUUUUAGCAAUUUCAUUAUUGUUCAAAACUAAUAUUUCUCUUCACAGUAUCUCUGGGCAGAUUUCUUCAAAUACAAAAGCACCAAGAGCAUUAUAGAAAUAUUGAGGCAUUUCUCAGUAUUCUCAUAUUUAAAUAUCUGAAACAAUAUCUAAAAUUUGUCUACAGAACAUGACAAAAGACACAUACUGCCUACAUUUUCAUUAGUGUAGGCAUUGGCAUCAUUUUGGUAAUGUAUGUUUAAGUGGUACUGUGCUCAGUGAGGUUCAGUUUGUAAUUUCUGUUUAAAUGGAAAGUUGUAUUUUUAUUAAUUUUAUUUGCUCCUUAACCAUAUUUUCCAUGUAUUAUUCUCACUCCUACUUUGGUCUUAGAAAGAAGAAUGUCAGCAUGAGUUUUGUUAAACUGUAGUGAUACAGCAGAACAGGGGCCAUGAGAUCUGUACACACUAAUAAAGCACAACAAAAUGCCUUUGUAAAACUAAGACAGGACUGUCACUCUCCUAGCAGUGAUAUGCAAUAAAGACUUGAAACAGAGUUACAGAAUGUUUGAGGAUGGAAGGGAGCUUUGGACUUCAUCUGGUAUAAUUCAGAUUCAUAUAAUCUGUGGUGCACCAUUUCACAAUUUUGGCUGGGCUCUUGAGUCUUGAGGAACCACACUGAUAUUUCACCUCAUCUGUUUAUUGUUCAACAACUUUUGGCUUGCUCCUUUUAAUUAAGUAAGGAUAAAUCUGACCAGGUAAUAAUAAAUAGAAUUUCCUAAGUUUCAGUCUGGAAUAAAUUCAUAUAUUUUCUGCUUAGUGCUAUUUGCAAAUAAGUUCACAGCCAUGUUGCCAACAGAGUUCCCAUAGUCUGUUUUAUGUACAUAGCAAAGUUUCUCAGGUACUCUAUAGAACAUAGUCAGAAAAUAUUUAUGAUUUCUUGAAAACUUUUCCGAAGUCUUACACAAGAGGUUUUAUCAACCAACAAAAUCAAUUAUGUAUGCCCUAACAUUGGUGGAUGAUUGAUCCUCUCAACACUGGUCAUGAAGGUCCAGGUGGGAUGAAAUAAGAUUGUCAUUUCUUCUUCUCCUAUUACUAUUGUUGUUUUAAAUUAAAUUUGAAAUUUAUAAUUUGCUUCCCCAAAAUAUUUUUAAUUUUAUUUAAUGUUUUUAUUUUUAUAACUGACAGCACAUGUUAAGACAAUGCGAUAUGUAGAGAUGCCAUGCUGAGCACUGAAAACAAUAGUCAGGCUGAGUGCAUUGCAAUGUCGUACUAAUGUUGUGAAAAGUAUUUUCUUAAACAUGGCUGAAAUUACAUGUGACAUCAUAUAGUUCAUAAGACAAAAAUAUGAAAAUUCCAAGAAGAAAUAAAUAAAAUAUGCCACUAACCUUCUUGCUUUUAAAUGAUUAAAUGGGUAGUUUACAACUACAAGUCCAGAAACUAAAGCUGCAGGAUAAGAAAGGGAUAGUGGUGGAAAAUGAAAAAAAAAUCUUAUUCAUGUGAGGAAAAAGGAAAACAAAAACACAUUUUUAAACUGUAGUCUUUAACAGAUUUAUAAAUACAUGAAUGACAGAAAAAGGAAAAACAGACACGUUGGCUUCUCCAAAUUUGUCUUUUCUAAAUUUCAGGCAGACUGAUUAUAGAAGAUUGUGAUAUAUCUGUAACAAGAAACCAAAAUAAUUAAUUGCACUUCUAUUACAGAUAAAAGACAAAGGAAUUUAUUAUAUUCAAGACACUUUCUUGGAAGUAGUACAGAUGUAUUUCUCUUUAUAUUUGCAUACAGGGCACUGAGCACACACCAUUAUUAUCCUGGAUUUAACCCCACUGAGCUGACAGUGGAAAGGAGAGCUGGACUGCAGGAUAAGGUGGCUUGUUGCACCCAGUUUCAGGGAAAAAAAAAAAAGGGGUUUUCUUUAUUUUUUUGGAGGGGGGGUGGGGGGCUAUCUAGAUGUGCUGAUGGCUGAGGCACCUGUAUAGGCACAACAAGAAGAUCUGUACAAAGGCUGGGGAGAUGGAAGAAGCAGAGCCACAGAAGACAGGGAGGCACAACGGCAAGACUAUCAAGGGCACAAGGGUAAUCUCAUCUCCAGUCUUUCUGCUAUUAAGGAGGGGAAAAGAAGGUAUCAGCUGCAGAGAGUAAAGUAUGUUCUUCUGUACUGUUCAUGCGAUCAGUAGGCAUGUGUUUAUUUUAGGGAUGUAGCUUGAGACAUGAAAACAGUGGAAGGUAAUUAUUUUUCAGCUGGGAAAUAUUAGGCUGACCUCAAGUAGCUGCAAAAUGAAUAAAAUAUGCAAUAAGGCUUUAUACUAUAAUAACCAUAACAUUACAAAAACUCACUCCUCUUUUGCUCUAGAGACUGAAUUAAAGACUGCUUUAUUGCAAAUGAUUUGCAAUAUCUAUACAUGAGAGAUUCCUGCAGUUUAAACCAUUAUACUCAAAGUCCACUGAGUCAGAACAAACUUUCUUUUUACUGUGGUAGGCAAUACACAGAAAAUGGAGGGGGGAAAAAAAAAAACAAAAUGAGACUUUUUUUCUCUUUUCUGAAUUAGCCCAUGUUGUCCACAGAUCACUGACAGUGCUGUUCAUAAAAUGGCAUUCCUUCUCACUAUUCUGCUUAAAAAUAGUUACUUUGGCUGUUGAAUUGCAAAGAAUAUUGGCAGUGUUACUGUCUAAAAUUUCAAGACACCUCUCCCUUUCACUGCUAGGAUGAGAAAUAAAUAGAACAGGCUGAAAACCAAACAAGAAAAAUUGGGCAGAUCUGUGUAUUUCUUUUCCAGAGAAGCCCAAUAAUGCCAGGUGUUUUCACUUUGUCCUCUUUAAACACUUGCCUUAAUAAUUACUUCAAGUAUUAAUAGAUAGGAAGACAGAAGAGAUUCACUUGAAUUUUAGGAGAACUCAUUUUCUUCAAAUUUUUGUUGUUCCUCUAUUAGCAGUGGAAUAGUUCAUUUUGAAUUAAAACAGUAGCAAUAAGCUCUUAUUUAAACAAGGCCAUACAGCAUGAUAUAAUAGUUUCAUUUUUACCUUAUUUUUUUUCUCAUUACUGUUCUGAUGUUACCUAUAAAACAAUGCAUGGCUGAAUUGACAUACAAUGUAAGUAAUGUCAAAUAUUGAAGAUACAUGAUGAACAGCUCAUAACUAGAAUAACUUCUUUGAAAACUUACAUUCCUGCAUACAAAAUGAAGAUGAUGUACAAGCCAGCUUUGAAAUUAAACAUAACUUUCUUGUACUCUG